CUUCUCCAAGAGACCGAGGACCCGGGGAGCAGCGGCGGAGGCGAGGGCGGACGGAGGGAGGAAGGCGCCGCCCGGAUCUUCGGCUCCGGCUCCAUUCGGGAGGGCACUGGAGGGGGCCUGCGGCGCGGCCGCGAGCCGGCGGGGCUCGGCCCGGAGCUGGGCCGCACGAAGGGGGCCCGUCCGGUGCCAGAGAGGCUGAAGUCGCAGGAACAUGCGCUCGGCGCGGGCCGCGCGCGCCCACCUACCGGACCACGGGCGCGGCCGCCUCCCGCGGGCUCCGCGAGCGCCCGGCCGCCGUCCAUGGCCCCCGCCUCGGGCCCGAAGCUCAGCCGGCGCCCCAGACGAGGCCCCGCCGCCCGCUCCAUUCCCCUCCUCACGCCUCAGCUGCUGCUGGGCGCCGCCAUCAUAGAGGGUGAUCGCGGACUACGGACUGAUGAGACGAGGUAUCUAGGGGACUGUCGUCCAAGGCCGCCAACUCCAGGGAAUGUCAGGAAACAAAGGUGUGAGAUCAGUGUCUGCUGGGCCGGGAACCCUACCCUCUGUUUGCACGGAGCUCCUGCUUCCCUUGGACUGCUCCCAGUGACUGAGUGAGACACGGACGCACACUUGGGCAGACCUGUUCCUGGGAGGCAUGGACUCUUCUUUUGGUCUCCUUUGGCUCCCGGACUCCCUGGUGGCCUUACCGAGCCUUCCUUAGACUCUGCAGCCAUGCAGGUCCCCUUUACCCAGCCUUCCCUCUAUCUCUCCCUCAUUUAGAGUCUGACUGGCCUUGUGGCCUGAUGGCUCUCCCACAUUCCCAGGCUCCUCCACCCCGUUUUCUCUUACAGAGGCAUUUCCCCACACAAAACCCUUGCACGUUUAAGCCUGUCUUGCUGUCUACCUCUCAGAGGACACUUGAGCCAAGGCACGAAGCCAUGAAAGAGUGAGCCAUGUAGACAUCCUGGGUAGAGGUUCUGGGCAGAGGCUACAGCAAGUACAAAGGCCCAGAGAGCCAGAGAAAGAGGACUUCCUUCCUGGUUGCGGGUGCACGAAUGGCUUCUCCAGCACCAGACUCCUGCCCUAGUGCUCGCCCACAGCACAGAGCCGCCAACAGCUUCCUCCAGCAGCCCCCUCAGGCAAGGCCCUAGCUGAACGCCUCCCAUAAGGUCCCUCCCCUCGAACGCCUUUCUCGGCCCCAAAAGGGUGGAUUUCCAUAAAGUUCCAGAGUGCACCUUUCCUGUGAAUUUGUGGAUUUUUAUAUUAAAC
rnacentral:lncRNA from 1 species